UCUACACUCAACUCAAUUGUUCCUGUUCCUCUGCUCCAGAUGCUGAGUGUGAGCGAGAGAUAGACAUAGACACACACACACACACACACACACACACACAGGACACUGACAGAGGACUGAGGCAGAAAACUGGACUUCCAUCAACACCUCUGAAGAAGACUAAGAAAAUAAGAGCCUUGCUUAGAGCAGUGUCGUGGGAACCCCCGACCAUAUCAGGAGUAGAAGGCUGAGGCAGUACGUAGCUAGGCACCAGUCACACUUCAGAUGGAGGAUGGGAGAGAUGGUUUGUCAUGGAGUCCCCUGACUAAAAGACAGGUUGAUACAGAUGUCUGGGAGAGACCUUUUACUCAGCAUUAAAAUAAUACCAGACCUCUAUUACUUUUCAUCAUCUGUUGUUACUAUUGAAUUGAAUGGUGGGGGAGAGGGACCCUCUGUAUUCUUCAACCGUGUCAGAGAACUGUCUUAUAUGGGACACCAUAUGAAGGGAUGACGACUAACAUGUACCACCAGACAAAAUGCUGAUAGGCUACUGACCGAUUCAAAACUUCCUCCAGGACUGAAG
ensembl:lncRNA